rnacentral:lncRNA from 1 species
UUUGGGCACUGAAUUUGGACUAUUUUCUUUCUAUCACAACGUGUGUCUGAAUGGUGGGAACUUUCUACGUAGAAGAGAAUUAUUUCUGUGCACAAUUGUCCGUCCUGCGAGGAAAGUUAUGGCUGCCCUAUAAAAGGGGACUGAGGUCUUCCUUUGUCCUAGGUUGGGAAGGCCUCCUGGUCAAUAAAUACAUAUUAAUCAUGUAAAAGGAUUGACAUGCAAAUGAAGGGCACCACUGACAGGCCCUGGAUGGCAGAGAGGAAGCCCUUCUGCAGCUGUGUUCCUGUCCGGAGGAAGCCAGGGCAGCACCAGGCUCUUUGCUGGGCGUUUCCUAGAGGGUUAAACACCCUUUUCUAAAAAUUACAUGAAAGAGUUAAUUGAGCUGGAGAUUGCUUUAGGAUCUUUUGCUUGCAUCCUUCUUAGCUUUGCCAAAUCUCCAGGUUUGUAGGUUUUUUGUUUUGUUUUGUGUGUGUGUGUAUGUUUUAAGUUAAGUCUGGGGAUAGGCAGUCCACCCUUUGGAUCGCUGUGUCUCUGGGCCCAACUGGAAGUCUCCAAAGAUGGUCUUGAGCAACUCGGAGGUGUUGGUGAUGGAUACACUUAUCUCUGUAUAAGGAGGCCUGCCAACGAGCCUGGCAAAAUGAUGGUCAACGCACCCAUUCAGCAGAUGUUUGCGGAGCACCUGCUAUGUUCUAGAAUGCAGGCCUGAAUGAGACAGUCAAGACCUCUGCCAACAUGGACCUUAUAGUCUCGUCGGAGAGACAACCGAGAAACAGAAAUGAAGUGAAAUAAUCAGUGCAGAGCACUUCGCACGGUGAUUGGGAUGGAGGGGGCACUCCGUCAGGGGAGCUAUUACCGUUCGUGUUUCUGGAUCCUACAUACAUCUCAGGGCAUUCAUCCAGUACUCUCAACCAAGAACACCACACUGUCCCCAUUCCUCACUGGAUCCUGACAUCCUCUGGUGCCCUGACAAAGCAAGCUGCCUCAAAAAUAUACAUCUGCAAGACAUUACAAAGGUUGGAAGGAAAAGUACGCCCAGCACCCAUGUUGGGACAGGUCUCGCCUUGAUGGAAGUUGCAAAGUAUGGAAUGGGGAGGCCGUGGGAGUUGCCCUUUGUGAGCCUGCUUCAGGCCGAGGAAGACGAGGUCUCUGCACUCCUCCUAAGGUCUUUAACUCCUUCUGAAGCUGUUUUAUAGGUCUGGUUGCUGUACAGUCACUUGGAUGAUAGGUGUGCAAUUAAAUUUUCAAGAUGGCGGAUGCAGUGGGUUAAACUUCAUUUCCCCCAAAGAUGCGUCCGAGUCCUAAACCCUGGUAGCUGCGAAUGAAACUCAUCGAAGGAUGAGAUCAUCCUGGGUUAGAGUGGGUCUUAAAUCCAAUGACUGGUGUCCUGGUAAGAGACAGAUCAUGAGGAGACACAGGGAGAAGGCCACGUGAAGAUGGAAGCAGAGCUUGGAGGGAAGCGGCCACAAACCUUGGAGUAGCAGCAGGCGCUGGAAGCUGGAGGAGGCGGGGAACGACUGAGGAGGGAGUGUGUGGCCCUGCGGAUGCCUUGAUUUCAGACACCUCCUUCCAGGACUGUGAGGAAAUAAAUAUCUGCUGUUUUAACCCCUCUGUUGUGAUUAUUUGUUAGGACAAUCUGAGGAUAUUCUUACGACAGGCAGAGAAGAGCUUGUUUUCAUAGGAGAAAAUCUUCGACCUUCAGUUGGGUCUUCCUUCUGGAAUUUACAGUUGGUUUGCAGACACUCUGACCUUUGUCUUUACAGACUGAA